CUCCGCGCCGGUCCCCGCCUCUCGCCCACCGGGUGUGGACUCGCUCGCAGCUUGCUGGUCUCGCUUCCCGGCCUGCGACCUGAGAGAGACCGGGCCUGCAGCUUUCGGCCCCGUCCGCCUGGCCAGCCCCGGGCCCUCCUCGCCUGGUACCGGAGGACCCGGACAGGCCCGGUCACCCCUCCAGGACGAGAUUCCCCAGCUGGCCGUCGCCCCGCCUCGGGAGCACGGUCUGUCGCUCUAACUGGGCCUGUCCUGAGAGACUGCAGGUGGCGGGAAGACCGCACACGGAAUGAGAGAAGUCGCUGUUCGUGUGUGUGAGGCGGUGAUGGAAAAAGCCGCACCGUUAAAAUAUUAAUGAAGAGGAAAAGCUGUCUUGUGCUGUAUUUAAGCAACCCAAAAGAAGUGGUUAAGGGUAAUAAUUUCAAGAUGCCAGCACGUUCCAGUUCGAAUUCAUGUUCAACUGGUUUUAUAUCCUUCAGUGGUAUAGAAUCUGCUCUCUCCUCGUUGAAAAACUUCCAAUCCUGUAUCAGCUCCGGAAUGGACACAGCCUCUAGUGUUGCUCUGGAUCUAGUCGAAACUCAAACUGAAGUGAGUAGCGAAUACAGUAUGGACAAGGCAAUGGUUGAAUUUGCUAUGAUGAAUCAAGAACUAAACCAUUAUGUAAAAGCUGUUCAAUCUAUGAUAAGUCAUAUAAGUUUAUACCAUUUACCUGG